UACGUAGGCAGCGAGCGUUGUUCGGAGUUACUGGGUGUAAAGCGCGUGUAGGCGGGUGGCCAAGUCUGCUGUGAAAUCGCCCGGCUCAACUGGGCGGGGUCGGUGGAAACUGGUCACCUGGAGGACGGUAGAGGCGAGUGGAAUUCCCGGUGUAGUGGUGAAAUGCGUAGAGAUCGGGAGGAACACCAGUGGCGAAGGCGGCGCGCUGGGCCGGACCUGACGCUGAGACGCGAAGGCGUGGGGAGCGAACGGG
rnacentral:rRNA from 1 species